CGAUCCGACCACCCAUAUUCCAUACAUUAUGAUCCAAUUGUCAGGCCCUAGGGCCCACUAUCGGAUCAGCCCAAUAUCGCCCACCUCAAUGUUGGCAUAUCGUUUGCCGAUGUGUAUGACCACCUAGAGUACUACGCCUUAUCAGUUGUUGAACCACAACUUUCCUGGGUAUAGUGCAACAGCUAGAGGGCUGUGAACUAAUUCUUUGCUGUUUUGUUUUGCAAUUUAGGUUUCCUAAAUAAAGCAUAAAUAUGAUGCACUUCUGAUAGCAUUUUCAGCUUCACUUUGGAGAGAGAAGCACAUAGAUAGGCACAUUAUAAAGACAUGUUUAUUGAAAAUCUCUACCAAAAAUAGUCUGGUCACAUAUAUUUUCCUUAACUUAAUAAUAUAAAAGAUGACAUUUCUUCCAAAACUAUAUUGUAUGUCACUUGUAGUUUCACCAAAUACCUUUUCUAGACUGGACAAAAUUAAGAUCGGGAAAUAGUCGCUCUUCCCUGCCAACAGUGGCUAGGGUUGCCACCCGGCCGGUAUUUUACCGGCCUAGCCGGUAAAAUACCUGCCGGGGGCCAGUAUUACAAAUUUACCGGCAAUGUAGCUGCCGGUAAAUUUAUAAUACGAUCAAAAGGAGCCCUCGGCCUGCCCCCAAACUUACCUUAUCUUGUUCCUCUUCUAGCGUCUGCGGGUCUCCGUUGUGUGGCCCCGCCCCUUUUGACAUCACGUCCGCCCCUUUUGAUGUCACACCCCGCCCAUUUGAGGCCCCGCCUCCCAGCAGCCGGUAAAGAUUUUUAUAAAAGGUGGCAACCCUAACAGUGGCUGUGGGUAAGUUGCCUGUGUAAAAGGGAGUCAUAUAAGUGAUGUAGGACAUUUACUGGGGUUUGGUAGGUGUUGGUAAGCUUUGGUUAGGAGAAGGUGUACAAAGGUGGAUAUGGGAGGUUGUUGGGGUAUUUACAUUGGGAAGGCUUCAGAGCUGGAAGGCUGGCAUUGUGGCACUUGCUCAUUUUGUCCCAGUGAUGUAAAGUUGAGAGGGUUGGCAAAUGAAGAAGGCAGUAUAGCAUGUUCCUAUGCCUUCUUCACUCCUCAGGUGCAUAUAUGUCUUUAUUCCGCCUUCUGUUAAGACAGUAAAAAAAAAAAAAUGUCACAACUUUGUGUUAAACUUUCAUUCUAUAACUUGGCCCAAGUGCCAUUUGAAAGAAAUAAUAAAAAUUGAAAGGCUCAUGUAGCCAAGUGCCUUUUUGUGCGUUGCAUUUACUAGAUUUCUUGCUAAUGGCACUUUGAAAUCCGUUGGUAACAUAUAUAAGACUUCUGGUUAAAUAAAAUUUGUUGCAAUGAUUUGGUUAUGAAGGAACUGUGCUGAAUAUAUUCAUGUAGGUGUAUCACCAAUCCUGUGCUAAGCUGUCACUAUACAUUUUAUGGAGCGUAAUGAACAAUAAGGCUGUGCCGUACGUUUUAUUUCCGUGUAUAUUUGUCUGUUUGGUCUUUUUUUUUGAUUUUUUAAAUGCAUAAUAACAAGGUAAAAUAUAAGUCAUAUGAUUUUGCAUGAAGGUUGAUAUAUAUACGUCAAAUGGAUAAAUGUCAUUGGAGGGUUUGUAAAAGGCUUACAUAGACAUUAACUUGGUAAGCGCAUUGAUUGUUGAAAUGCAUUGUUUACAUGGGGGGGGGUCUGUAUCUGGAAAAAAAUAAAUUUGAAGUU